rnacentral:rRNA from 1 species
AGAGCAUAGGGAGAAUGCCUAGGUACCAAAAGCCGAAGAAAGACGUGAUAAGCUGCGAAAAGCCACGGGGAGAAGCAAAUAUUCAAUAAUCCGUGGAUGUCUGAAUGAGGAAACUCUAACCAAGAAAAAAGUUGGUUAAUCCAUACAUGAGUAAAGUAGUGUAUAGGAGGGGAACGUGGGGAACUGAAACAUCUAAGUACCCACAGGAAAAGAAAGAAAACUCGAUUCCUAAAGUAGUGGCGAGCGAAAUAGGAAGAGCCCAAACCAGAAGAAGAAAUUCAUCUGGGGUUCGGACUACAUAAUUGAUUCAAUGAGUUUAGUAAAAUUGUUUGGGAAAGCAAACCAAAGACGGUGAAAGUCCAGUAUACGAAAAACAAGUUGACAAGGUAGAAUCCAGAGUAGUGCGAGACACGUGAAAUCUCGUAUGAAGGAGCGGGGACCACCCCGUAAGGCUAAAUACUAAUUGGUAACCGAUAGUGAAGAAGUACCGUGAGGGAAAGUUGAAAAGAACCCCGGGAGGGGAGUGAAAUAGAACCUGAAACCCUAUGUUUACAAGCAGACAAAGCACGUUAAGGUGCGAUGUCGUACUUUUUGUAGAACGGUCCGGCGAGUUAUUUUAUAUGGCAAGGUUAAGUACUAAAGGUACGGAGCCGAAGAGAAAUCGAGUCUGAAGAGGGCGAAUAAGUCAUAUGAAAUAGACCCGAAACCGAGUGACCUAUCCAUGUCCAGGCUGAAGCUUGAGUAAAAUCAAGUGGAGGGCCGAACUCAUAGACGUUAAAAAGUCUCGGGAUGAGGUGUGGAUAGCGGAGAAAUUCCAAUCGAACUCGGAGAUAGCUGGUUCUCCUCGAAAUAGUUUUAGGACUAGCCUUGUUUCGUAGCAUUUGGGGGUAGAGCACUGAAUGAGGUAGGGGCCAACACGGUUACUGAACUCUAUCAAACUACGAAUACCAAAUGUGUAAGAACAAGAGUCAGACUGCGGGAGCUAAGUUCCGUGGUCAAAAGGGAAAGAGCCCAGAUCGUCAAUUAAGGUCCCAAAGAUAUAGUUAAGUGGAAAACGAUGUGAUUUUGCGUAAACAACCAGGAUGUUGGCUUAGAAGCAGCCAUUCAUUCAAAGAGUGCGUAAUAGCUCACUGGUCGAGUGAAGUUGCGCGGAAAAUUACCGGGGCUAAACUAUACACCGAAAUUGCGGAUUUGCAUAGAAAUAUGUAAGUGGUAGAGGAGCAUUCUAUAGUAGGACGAAGCAUAAUCGAAAGGAUAUGUGGACGAGAUAGAAGAGAGAAUGCCGGAAUAAGUAGCGAAAGCAUGGUGAGAAUCCAUGCCAUCGAAAGUCUAAGGUUUCCUGGGGAAGGUUCGUCCGCCCAGGGUAAGUCGGGACCUAAGGAGAGGCCGAAAAGCGUAUCCGAUGGACAGCAGGUAGAAAUUCCUGCACUACGUAAUACUUAAAAGACAUAAAUGACACAGGAGUGGAAGAUAAGCGAGGAAGAGGAAAGACUCGUAUCGAAAGAUAUAGUGAAAAUUAAAGUAACGAAUUAUCAAGAAGCUAAUGGCGAGAAAAGUUUAUGGAUAUUGUAUUAAGUACCCGUACCGCAAACCGACACAGGUAGAUGAGGAGAAGAUCCUAAGAUGAGCGAGAGAAGCAUUGUUAAGGAACUCGGCAAACUGACCCCGUAACUUCGGAAUAAGGGGUGCUGGAGUAAAAUCCAGUCGCAGAGAAUAGUCCCAAGCAACUGUUUAACAAAAACACAGGUUUCUGCUAAAUCGAAAGAUGAAGUAUAGGAGCUGACACCUGCCCAGUGCUGGAAGGUUAAGGGAAAGAUUUAGACGCAAGUCGAAGCUUAGAACUAAAGCCCCAGUGAACGGCGGCCGUAACUAUAACGGUCCUAAGGUAGCGAAAUUCCUUGUCAGGUAAGUUCUGACCCGCACGAAAGGUGUAAUGAUUUGGGAGCUGUCUCGACAAUGUACUCGGCGAAAUUGUAGUACUAGUGAAGAUGCUAGUUACCUGCGACAAGACAGAAAGACCCCAUGGAGCUUUACUGCAGCUUGAUACUGGGUUUCGGUAAUUUAUGUACAGGAUAGGUGGGAUGCUAAGAAGUAUGUGCGCCAGCGCAUAUGGAGCAGACGUUGGGAUACCACCCUUAAAUUACUGGAAUUCUAACUAUAAGUCCUAAGCGGGCUUGAGGACAAUGUCAGGCGGGCAGUUUGACUGGGGCGGUCGCCUC